rnacentral:rRNA from 1 species
UGGGGAAUAUUGCACAAUGGGCGCAAGCCUGAUGCAGCCAUGCCGCGUGUGUGAAGAAGGCCUUCGGGUUGUAAAGCACUUUCAGCGGGGAGGAAGGCGUUAAGGUUAAUAACCUUGGCGAUUGACGUUACCCGCAGAAGAAGCACCGGCUAACUCCGUGCCAGCAGCCGCUGUAAUACGGAUGGUGCAAUCGUUAAUCGGAAUUACUGGGCGUAAAGCGCACGCAGGCGGUUUGUUAAGUCAGAUGUGAAAUCCCCGGGCUCAACCUGGGAACUGCAUCUGAUACUGGCAGGGUUGUGUCUCGUAGAGGGGGGUAGAAUUACAGGUGUAGCGGUGAAAUGCGUAGAGAUCUGGAGGAAUACCGGUGGCGAAGGCGGCCCCCUGGACGAAGACUGACGCUCAGGUGCGAAAGCGUGGGGAGCAAACAGG